rnacentral:misc_RNA from 1 species
AAGUCGUAACAAGGUUUCCGUAGGUGAACCUGCGGAAGGAUCAUUAUUGAAUGAACUUGACUUGGUUGCUGCUGGUCUUUUCGAAGGCAUGUGCACACUUUGUCAUCUUUAUAUCUCCACCUGUGCACCUUUUGUAGACCUGAAACCAAAUUUCCGAGGCAACUCGGUCGUGAGGAAAUGCUUAACAGCUUUCCUUGUUAGGUUCCAGGGCUAUGUUUUCAUAUACACCAUAAGAAUGUAACAGAAUGUCAUUAUCAGGGUUAGUUGCCUUAUAAACUAUAUACAACUUUCAGCAACGGAUCUCUUGGCUCUC